GUCUACAGCCAUACCACCCUGAACAUGCCCAGUCUCGUCUGAUCCCGGAAGCUAAGCAGGGCUGGGCCUGGUUAGUACUUGGAUGGGAGACUAUGAAAUACAUAUCUAGCAUAAUGUAUAUU
rnacentral:rRNA from 1 species